UACGUAGGGUGCAAGCGUUGUCCGGAAUUAUUGGGCGUAAAGAGCUCGUAGGCGGUUUGUCGCGUCGAAUGUGAAAACCCGGGGCUCAACCCCGGGCCUGCAUUCGAUACGGGCAGACUAGAGUUCGGUAGGGGAGUCUGGAAUUCCUGGUGUAGCGGUGAAAUGCGCAGAUAUCAGGAGGAACACCGGUGGCGAAAGGCGGGUAGCUGGGCCGACACUACGCUGAGGCGCGAAAGCCAGGGGAGCGAACGGG
rnacentral:rRNA from 1 species